rnacentral:rRNA from 1 species
CGGAGGAUCCAAGCGUUAUCCGGAUUUAUUGGGUUUAAGGGUGCGUAGGCGGGACAGUAAGUCAGUGGUGAAUCCUAUUGCUUAACAAUAGAAUUGCCAUUGAUACUGCUGACCUUGAGUACAAAUGAUGUGGGCGGAAUGUGCAGUGUAGCGGUGAAAUGCUUAGAUAUUGCACAGAACACCGAUAGCGAAGGCAGCUCACAAAAUGUAACUGACGCUGAGGCACGAAAGUAUGGGAUCAAACAGGAUU